UCAAGCUCAUUUUAUCAACUCCACUAAAAGGUCUGCAAAAUACCGAGAAGAUGGCCUGGCAGAAAAUUCUGCAUCUUCAGUCAUAAUAAAUUAGAUUACAGGAAGAAACUACGGGAUGAAGGGGUCAGGCCUGACUAACAAAGAAGACCGGUGGAUGGAUCAUGAGAACCAAGAGGAUCAACAUGAGCAUUCCACAGUGGAGAUAAGGAAAACUAAGAGUGAACCAUAACAUACACUACAAUUCAAAAGUUUGGGGUCACUUAAAAAAACAAAAAAACAUUUUUUGUCCAUUAAAAUAACAAAUACAGUGUAGACAUUGUUAAUGUUGUAAAUGACUAUUUGUAGCUGGAAACGGCUGAUUUUUUAAUGGAAUAUCUACAUAGGUGUACAGAGGCCCAUUAUCAGCAACCAUCACUCCUGUGUUCCAAUGGCAUGUUGUGUUAGCUAAUCCAAGUUUAUCCUUUUAAAAGGCUAAUUGAUCAUUAGAAAACCCAGCUGAAAACUGUUCUGAUUAAAGAAGCAAUACAACUGGGCUUCUUUAGACUAGUUGAGUAUCUGGAACACCAGCAAUUGUGGGUUUGAUUACAGGCUCAAAAUGGCCAGAAACAAAUAACUUUCUUCUGAAACUCGUCAGUCUAUUCUUGUUCUGAAAAAUGAAGGCUAUUCCUGUGAGAAAUUGCCAAUAAACUGAAGAUGUCUGUGUACUACUCCCUUCACAGAACAUUGCAAACUGUCUCUAACCAGAAUAGAAAGAAGAGUGGGAGGCCCCGGUGCACAACUGAGCAAGAGGAAAAGUACAUUAGAGUGUCAAGUUUGAGAAACAGACGCCUCACAAGGCCUCAGCUGGCAGCUUCAUUAAAUAGUACCUGCAAAACACCAGCCUCAAUGUCAACUGUGAAGAGGUGACUCUGGGAUGCUGGCCUUCUAGGCAGAGUUGCAAAGAAAAAGCAAAUAAAGAAAUGUAAAAAUCCAAUUGAAAUACCCCUAAAGAAAAGUUUGAGUUCAUGAGUUGUAUAGGCAUAUCAAUUAGAAUUGACCCCAACCCAGCUCAGGUGGUAAGAAGCUCUCGCAUCCAUUUGUAUGACAGUUUUAUACUCAGCGAGCCCCUACCCGGAUUUUGUGUUAAACAAGUUCUCUGUCCUUAACCUUGUUCUGAACACCUCCAACACUAAGGUCAUGUGGUUUGGUAAGAAGAAUGCCCCUCUCCCCACAGGUGUGAUUACUACCUCUGAGGGUUUAGCGAUUGAGGUAGUCACCUCAUACAAGUAUUUGGGAUUAUGGCUAAACGGUACACUGUCCUUCUCUCAGCACAUUUCAAAGCUGCACACUAAAAUGUAAUCUAGAUUUGGUUUCCUCUAUCGUAAUUGCUGCUCUUUCAACCCAGCUGCCAAACUAACCCUGAUUGAUGACCCUCCUACCCAUGCUAGAUUACGGAGACGUCAUUUAUAGCUCCGCAGGUAAUUGUGCUCUCGAGCGACUAGAUGUUCUUUACCAUUCGGCCAUCAGAUUUGCCACCAAUUAUUUUUUUUAUAGGACACAUCAUUGCACUCUAUACUCCUCCGCCAUCUCUGUAUAGUUGUGAGACCCACUGGUUGAUGCUUAUUUAUAAAACCCUCUUAGGCCUCACUUCCCUCUAUCUGAGAUACCUACUGCAGCCCUCAUCCUCCACAUACAACACCCGUUCUGCCAGUCACAUUCUGUUUAAGGUCCCCAAAGCACACACAUCCCUGGGUCGCUCAUCUUUUCAGUUCGCUGUAGCUAGCGACUGGAACAAGUAAAAAAAAACACUCAAACUGGAUAGUUUUAUCUCAAUCUCUUAAUUCAAUAACUCCCUCUAAGAUACAUUGUAGAAAUUGGCAGGGUUUAUGACUACGUGGCUAUAGAAACUAGUGAUGGCUAUAGAAGCUAGUGAUGACACUACCCUGCCCACUCUGCAGGCCUUCUGUGUACAGAGUACCACAAUAUGAGUCAUAAUACCGAUAACACCUAGCGGUCAAACACGGAAAUGCUUCCAACCGUUUUUCCACCAUUAAUUUUCCCAUAGGGGAUUUUAAAAACACUUCAAAUAAGGGCUGUGUUUUAUGUAGGCCUACCCUGGCG
ensembl:lncRNA